GCAUCAGCUGCGACUGCUUCCAUGGCCCAGCCUGGGUCCCUUCACUUGUCAGUGUGUCCAUUCAGGCAGAGAUCUUGAUCCUUGCCCCCAACCUCCCCUCACCUGCCCCAUCUCAGUUCAAUGUACCACCAUCCACCCAAUUUCUUAGGCUGAAAAUCUGGGGGCUUCCUUGGUCCUUCCUUUUCUCUCACGCCUUGCUACAUGCAAGCAGUCACAAGAUUCUGGCCAUUUGACUCCAAAAUACACACCCAGGGGCACCUGAGUGGCUCAGUUGGUUAAGCAACCGACUCUUGAUUUUGGCUCAGGUUAUGAUCCACGGUUCUUGAGUUCGAGCCCUGCAGUGCAGAGCCUGCUUGGGAUUCUCUCUCUUUGCCCCUCUCCUGCUCAUGCUCACUCUCUCUCUCUCUC